rnacentral:rRNA from 1 species
CACUAUCGUUAACUGAAUACAUAGGUUAACGAGGCGAACCGGGGGAACUGAAACAUCUAAGUACCCCGAGGAAAAGAAAUCAACCGAGAUUCCCCCAGUAGCGGCGAGCGAACGGGGAGCAGCCCAGAGUCUGAAUCAGCUUGUGUGUUAGUGGAACGGUCUGGAAAGUCCGACGGUACAGGGUGAUAGUCCCGUACACCAAAAUGCACAGGCUGUGAACUCGAAGAGUAGGGCGGGACACGUGGUAUCCUGUCUGAAUAUGGGGGGACCAUCCUCCAAGGCUAAAUACUCCUGACUGACCGAUAGUGAACCAGUACCGUGAGGGAAAGGCGAAAAGAACCCCGGCGAGGGGAGUGAAAAAGAACCUGAAACCGUGUACGUACAAGCAGUGGGAGCACCUUCGGGUGUGACUGCGUACCUUUUGUAUAAUGGGUCAGCGACUUAUAUUCUGUAGCAAGGUUAACCGUAUAGGGGAGCCGCAGGGAAACCGAGUCUUAACUGGGCGUUAAGUUGCAGGGUAUAGACCCGAAACCCGGUGAUCUAGCCAUGGGCAGGUUGAAGGUUGGGUAACACUAACUGGAGGACCGAACCGACUAAUGUUGAAAAAUUAGCGGAUGACUUGUGGCUGGGGGUGAAAGGCCAAUCAAACCGGGAGAUAGCUGGUUCUCCCCGAAAGCUAUUUAGGUAGCGCCUCGUGAAUUCAUCUUCGGGGGUAGAGCACUGUUUCGGCUAGGGGGUCAUCCCGACUUACCAACCCGAUGCAAACUACGAAUACCGAAGAAUGUUAUCACGGGAGACACACGGCGGGUGCUAACGUCCGUCGUGAAGAGGGAAACAACCCAGACCGCCAGCUAAGGUCCCAAAGUCAUGGUUAAGUGGGAAACGAUGUGGGAAGGCACAGACAGCCAGGAUGUUGGCUUAGAAGCAGCCAUCAUUUAAAGAAAGCGUAAUAGCUCACUGGUCGAGUCGGCCUGCGCGGAAGAUGUAACGGGGCUAAACCAUGCACCGAAGCUGCGGCAGCGACACUAUGUGUUGUUGGGUAGGGGAGCGUUCUGUAAGCCUGCGAAGGUGANNNNNNNNNNNNNNNNNNNNNNNNNNNNNNNNNNNNNNNNNNNNNNNNNNNNNNNNNNNNNNNNNNNNNNNNNNNNNNNNNNNNNNNNNNNNNNNNNNAUGCUGGAGGUAUCAGAAGUGCGAAUGCUGACAUAAGUAACGAUAAAGCGGGUGAAAAGCCCGCUCGCCGGAAGACCAAGGGUUCCUGUCCAACGUUAAUCGGGGCAGGGUGAGUCGACCCCUAAGGCGAGGCCGAAAGGCGUAGUCGAUGGGAAACAGGUUAAUAUUCCUGUACUUGGUGUUACUGCGAAGGGGGGACGGAGAAGGCUAUGUUAGCCGGGCGACGGUUGUCCCGGUUUAAGCAUGUAGGCUGGUUAUCCAGGCAAAUCCGGAUAAUCAAGGCUGAGGUGUGAUGACGAGGCACUACGGUGCUGAAGUAACAAAUGCCCUGCUUCCAGGAAAAGCCUCUAAGCAUCAGGUAACAUCAAAUCGUACCCCAAACCGACACAGGUGGUCAGGUAGAGAAUACCAAGGCGCUUGAGAGAACUCGGGUGAAGGAACUAGGCAAAAUGGUGCCGUAACUUCGGGAGAAGGCACGCUGGUGUGUAGGUGAAGUCCCUGCGGAUGGAGCUGAGACCAGUCGAAGAUACCAGCUGGCUGCAACUGUUUAUUAAAAACACAGCACUGUGCAAACACGAAAGUGGACGUAUACGGUGUGACGCCUGCCCGGUGCCGGAAGGUUAAUUGAUGGGGUUAUCCGUAAGGAGAAGCUCUUGAUCGAAGCCCCGGUAAACGGCGGCCGUAACUAUAACGGUCCUAAGGUAGCGAAAUUCCUUGUCGGGUAAGUUCCGACCUGCACGAAUGGCGUAAUGAUGGCCAGGCUGUCUCCACCCGAGACUCAGUGAAAUUGAACUCGCUGUGAAGAUGCAGUGUACCCGCGGCAAGACGGAAAGACCCCGUGAACCUUUACUAUAGCUUGACACUGAACAUUGAGCCUUGAUGUGUAGGAUAGGUGGGAGGCUUUGAAGCGUGGACGCCAGUCUGCGUGGAGCCAACCUUGAAAUACCACCCUUUAAUGUUUGAUGUUCUAACGUUGGCCCCUGACCGGGGUUGCGGACAGUGUCUGGUGGGUAGUUUGACUGGGGCGGUCUCCUCCCAAAGCGUAACGGAGGAGCACGAAGGUUAGCUAAUCCUGGUCGGACAUCAGGAGGUUAGUGCAAUGGCAUAAGCUAGCUUGACUGCGAGCGUGACGGCGCGAGCAGGUGCGAAAGCAGGUCAUAGUGAUCCGGUGGUUCUGAAUGGAAGGGCCAUCGCUCAACGGAUAAAAGGUACUCCGGGGAUAACAGGCUGAUACCGCCCAAGAGUUCAUAUCGACGGCGGUGUUUGGCACCUCGAUGUCGGCUCAUCACAUCCUGGGGCUGAAGUAGGUCCCAAGGGUAUGGCUGUUCGCCAUUUAAAGUGGUACGCGAGCUGGGUUUAGAACGUCGUGAGACAGUUCGGUCCCUAUCUGCCGUGGGCGCUGGAGAAUUGAGGGGGGCUGCUCCUAGUACGAGAGGACCGGAGUGGACGCAUCACUGGUGUUCGGGUUGUCAUGCCAAUGGCACUGCCCGGUAGCUAAAUGCGGAAGAGAUAAGUGCUGAAAGCAUCUAAGCACGAAACUUGCCCCGAGAUGAGUUCUCCCUGAGACUUUAAGUCUCCUGAAGGAACGUUGAAGACGACGACGUUGAUAGGCCGGGUGUGUAAGCGCAGCGAUGCGUUGAGCUAACCGGUACUAAUGAACCGUGAGGCUUAACCUUACAACGCCGAAG